CCUUUAAUGCUGCUAACAUUUCCUUUCUCCAAGAAAAGGAAAUGGUGCUGAGCCUUGCAUCAAGUAUCUGUUCCGGUGUUUCCCCCCUUGUAGGUGCACCAUGUACCCAUUUAACCAAAUCUAUUCCUUCACCAAAAUCUUCAUCAACAGGUGACCGGGUGGUAAGGAUCUCGAGCAAAACAACCCCAUAACUAUAGACGUUUCCAGACCUUUAGCGCUGCUAGCAUUUCCUUUCUCCAAGAAAAUGAAAUGGUGCUGAGCCUUGCAUCGAGUAUCUGCUCCGGUGUUUCCCCCCUCGCAGGUGCACCAUGUACCCAUUUAACCAAAUCUAUUCCUUCACCAAAAUCUUCAUCAACAGGUAAUUGGGUGGUCAGGAUCUCGAGCAAAACAACACCAUAACUAUAAACGUUUCCAGGAGCUGUUACUUGC
rnacentral:lncRNA from 1 species